rnacentral:rRNA from 1 species
GUAGGGAAUCUUCGGCAAUGGGGGGAACCCUGACCGAGCAACGCCGCGUGAGUGAAGAAGGUUUUCGGAUCGUAAAGCUCUGUUGUUAGAGAAGAACGUGUGUGAGAGUGGAAAGUUCACACAGUGACGGUAACUAACCAGAAAGGGACGGCUAACUACGUGCCAGCAGCCGCGGUAAUACGUAGGUCCCGAGCGUUGUCCGGAUUUAUUGGGCGUAAAGCGAGCGCAGGCGGUUCUGUAAGUCUGAAGUUAAAGGCAGUGGCUUAACCAUUGUACGCUUUGGAAACUGCAGGACUUGAGUGCAGAAGGGGAGAGUGGAAUUCCAUGUGUAGCGGUGAAAUGCGUAGAUAUAUGGAGGAACACCGGUGGCGAAAGCGGCUCUCUGGUCUGUAACUGACGCUGAGGCUCGAAAGCGUGGGGAGCAAACAGGAUUAGAAACCCUAGUAGUCC